AUGUAAUAUGUUUUUAUUGCUAUUAAAGAGGAAGGGGGAGAGAGAGAGAAACAUCAGUGAUGAGAGAGAAUCAUCGAUUGGUCAUCUCCUGAAAGCCCCCCACUGGGGAUCGAGCCUGAAACCCCAGCAUGUACCCUAAAUGGGACUCGAACCGUGACCUCCUAGUUUAUGGGUCAGCGCUCAACCACUGAACCACACCAGCUGGGCACCAAUAAAGUUUUGCAAAGCCAAUAGAAAUUAUGCUUCUGUUAAUGUUCUUAUGGAAGUUAAACCAUAGUACAGUUACUCUCCGAACUUUAUGGCCAUUUAAGCCUUUAAAAUACAUAAUUUUUUAAAAUAUAUUUUUAUUGAUUUCAGAGAGGAAGGGAGAGGGAGAGAGGGAUAAAAACAUUGAUGAGUGAGAAUCAUUGAUUGGCUGCCUCUUGCAAGCCCCACACUGGGAUUCAAGCCCACAACCUGGGGAUGUCCCCUGACCAAGAAUCGAACCAUGACUGCCUGGUUCAUAGGUCGACACUCUAUAGAACCACAAUGGCUGGGCUUAAAAUAUAUAUUUUCACUAAGUACUUCAGUAGAUUUCAAUCCCCCACACCCACAUACCAUAUUUAUUAAGAGAAUAGUUUAUAAGUUAGUAUAUUUCCCAUUCACUUGCCUAAACUUGUUUUCUUAAUAAAAGAAAAUAACUUUUCUGGCAAGAGGCCUUAGAGAUCUGGCUUAUAGACAGUAAUUUUCCAAAUCUGGGUUUCUUGUGAAGUGUAAGCAAAACCAAUGACAGCUUUGGCAUUCAAAUCUCCUAACAGUAGUAUUGUUAAUGAAUUCUUGGUGUAAGAUGAGCAAUUGGUUCUAGACAUCUACUACUCUCCUUUAUACUUGUAAAAAUGAUUUCUACAUUGAGACAUAACAAGUAUGUCUUAUUGAGAGGUUUAUCAGGAUUAUGAAAAAUCCUUUUUUUUUUUUAAUAUAUUUUUAUUGAUUUCAGAGAGGAAAGGAGAGGAAAAGAGAGAUAGAAACAUCAGUGAUGAGAAUCAUUGAUUGGCUGCCUCUUUCAUGCCCCACACGGAAUUGAGGCAACAACCUGGGCAUGUGCCCUAACCGGGAAUCGAACUGUGACUUCCUGGUUCAUAGGUCAACACUCAACUACUGAACCACACUGGCUGGACGAAAAGUAAAUUUUUUUUUAAAUUAAAUAUAUUGUUAAUGAUUUCAGAGAGGAAGAGAGAGACAGAAACAACAAUGAUGAGAGAGAAUCAUUGAUCUGCUGCCUCCUGCAUAGCCCCUACUGGGGAUCGAGCCCACAACCCAGGCAUGUGCCCUUGACUGGAAUCAAACCUGGGACCCUUCAGCCCACAGACGAACACUCUAUUCCACUGAGCCAAACUAGCUAAGGUGAAAAGUAAAUUCUUAAUUGUAUAUGCCUUAUAGCUUGAAAACUGGCUUUCUGUUGUAAAAACAAUAGCUACCAUUUAUUGAACACUUACUGCAUUGUUAUGAACUUCUUUACAUGUAUGAGAAAUUCGUGGACAGGGGUGGGGGAGGGGUGUCCCUCAGCCCGGCCUGCACCCUCUCCAAUCCAGGACCCUUCGGGGGAUGUCUAAAGGGAUCGGGCCUAAACCGGCAGUUGGACAUCCCUCUCGCAAGCCGGGACCGCUGGCUCCUAACCGCUCACCUGCCUACCUGCCUGUCUGAUCGCCCCAAGCUGCUUUUCCCCUGCCGGCCUGAUCACCCUUAACCGCCUCUGCCUUGGCCCCUGCCACCAUGACUUUGUCUGGAAGGAUGACCAGAAGAUGUCCAGUUGACUGGUCUAAUUAGCAUAUUACCCUUUUAUAUGUAGAUCCUCUCAGCAAUCCUAUGAAGUUAGUAUGUAGUUCAUUACAGUUAAGAAAUUUAACAGAAAUGACAUUUAUUAAGUGUUAGAGCAAUAUUCACAUGUAGAUAUGUAGAACCAUUUGACUAUAAGAUACUUUUUUUAUUUUUGUUUGUUUUUUAAUCCUCACCUUAGGGAGAAAGAGAGAGAGAUAGAUUGGUUGCCUCCCAUACUUGCCCCAACCAGGGAUCAGACCCGCAGCCUUGCUAUUUGGCCGACACCCGCAAACUUUUGGUGUAUGAUCAACACACUAACCAACUGAGCUACCCCCAGUCAGGGCUAUAAAAGGUCCUUCUUACCCUCUCGGUUAAUGCUAUGUAAUAAUGGCCCAAGAUACCUGCUUAUGUUAAUAAAUUUCAAAAUAUAGGAAGGGACUUCCUUUUUUGUAACACAUUUCACACUUGUAACCACUUGUUACAUGUUUUACCUCCAUUAGACUCUCUCUUGCUUACACUUUCCGUCUCUCCCCAUUCUCUACUGGUUUAGCCCCUCCUCUCUCUCUCUACACCUUGUGUAACAGAAUCUAUCACUCUGCUGUUAUAUUACCUAUCACGAUCCCUGAGUAGAUAGACUGCGCGAGUCAUGGGGGUGGGCGGGAUUAUGUCAUACUGAUCUGUGUAUCUCCGGUACCUACCUACCUCAAGUUCUAGUACAUAGUAAGUGCUUAAUAAGAUGAAAUUCCUGUAAUUCCACUGUUAAGAUAUAUCUGUUAUGUAUUUUUUUCUUGUAUAUCUUACUCAUGUAAAUUUGGGAUCAUACUGUACAGACAGUUAUGUCUAUGAUUUUUUUCCUGUGAGGUUUUCCCCAGAUUACAUAUUCUUUCAAAAUACAGGUUUUAAAACCUUCAUGAAGAUGUGUCAUAAUACCUCCCCUUUAAACAAAAACA